GAUGAACGCUGGCGGCGUGCCUAAUACAUGCAAGUCGAGCGAACAGACGAGGAGCUUGCUCCUCUGACGUUAGCGGCGGACGGGUGAGUAACACGUGGAUAACCUACCUAUAAGACUGGGAUAACUUCGGGAAACCGGAGCUAAUACCGGAUAAUAUAUUGAACCGCAUGGUUCAAUAGUGAAAGACGGUUUGCUGUCACUUAUAGAUGGAUCCGCGCCGCAUUAGCUAGUUGGUAAGGUAACGGCUUACCAAGGCAACGAUGCGUAGCCGACCUGAGAGGGUGAGCGGCCACACUGGAACUGAGACACGGUCCAGACUCCUACGGGAGGCAGCAGUAGGGAAUCUUCCGCAAUGGGCGAAAGCUUGACGGAGCAACGCCGCGUGAGUGAGGAAGGUCUUCGGAUCGUAAAACUCUGUUAUUAGGGAAGAACAAAUGUGUAAGUAACUAUGCACGUCUUGACGGUACCUAAUCAGAAGGCCACGGCUAACUACG
rnacentral:rRNA from 1 species